UACGGGGGGGGGCAAGCGUUGUUCGGAAUUACUGGGCGUAAAGGGUGCGUAGGCGGUCCGCUAAGUUGGAUGUGAAAACUCUGGGCUUAACCCAGAGCCUGCAUUCAAAACUGACGGGCUAGAGUUCUGGAGGGGGUAGCGGAAUUCCUGGUGUAGCGGUGAAAUGCGUAGAUAUCAGGAGGAACACCGGUGGCGAAGGCGGCUACCUGGACAGAAACUGACGCUGAGGCACGAAAGCUAGGGGAGCAAACAGG
rnacentral:rRNA from 1 species